rnacentral:rRNA from 1 species
CCUAUCAUGCAGUCGAGCGGACAGAUGGGAGCUUGCUCCCUGAUGUUAGCGGCGGACGGGUGAGUAACACGUGGGUAACCUGCCUGUAAGACUGGGAUAACUCCGGGAAACCGGGGCUAAUACCGGAUGGUUGUUUGAACCGCAUGGUUCAGACAUAAAAGGUGGCUUCGGCUACCACUUACAGAUGGACCCGCGGCGCAUUAGCUAGUUGGUGAGGUAACGGCUCACCAAGGCGACGAUGCGUAGCCGACCUGAGAGGGUGAUCGGCCACACUGGGACUGAGACACGGCCCAGACUCCUACGGGAGGCAGCAGUAGGGAAUCUUCCGCAAUGGACGAAAGUCUGACGGAGCAACGCCGCGUGAGUGAUGAAGGUUUUCGGAUCGUAAAGCUCUGUUGUUAGGGAAGAACAAGUGCCGUUCAAAUAGGGCGGCACCUUGACGGUACCUAACCAGAAAGCCACGGCUAACUACGUGCCAGCAGCCGCGGUAAUACGUAGGUGGCAAGCGUUGUCCGGAAUUAUUGGGCGUAAAGGGCUCGCAGGCGGUUUCUUAAGUCUGAUGUGAAAGCCCCCGGCUCAACCGGGGAGGGUCAUUGGAAACUGGGGAACUUGAGUGCAGAAGAGGAGAGUGGAAUUCCACGUGUAGCGGUGAAAUGCGUAGAGAUGUGGAGGAACACCAGUGGCGAAGGCGACUCUCUGGUCUGUAACUGACGCUGAGGAGCGAAAGCGUGGGGAGCGAACAGGAUUAGAUACCCUGGUAGUCCACGCCGUAAACGAUGAGUGCUAAGUGUUAGGGGGUUUCCGCCCCUUAGUGCUGCAGCUAACGCAUUAAGCACUCCGCC